rnacentral:lncRNA from 1 species
UUUUCAAAAGUUAUUUAAUAGUAGCUGUUUCUAGAAAAUUACAUUUUCACAAAUUGAUAUAUGGUGUUUUAUACAUCUUGUAUACAUGCUUUUAAAUUGGUUUUCAAGUCUUUAUCGAGUCUUUCUAGUUCUUUUGGAGUCAUUACAGGUCUGGAGUUGCAUUGGAUGGGAGAUGGACCAGCUGGAACAAAAGAGGCAGAAAACAAUGCAAUUUGGUGGUUUUCACGCAGAACAGUCAGAUAGUGGAGCAACCUGAGUGACUGUUCCGAGUGAGUGUUCCAGCGGCAAAGAUUUUUAAGGAAACUACAAUCAUUACGGGAUUUAGCCUAAUUAUCCAUAUUUUCUCUCCCAGCUGCCUGUGGCUUUGAUAUAUCAUAUUUUCUGUUUCUCUUUAUCAUUCUACGCUAUUCUAGACAGAAGAAAACCAUUGGAGACUUUUGUGCUUUUGGAUUGUAAAGGGAGAAGGCUCCAUCUCUCUCACCAUAGAGAAGAUUAUCCUGAACCCUCUUUCUAUCUGUUUUAUUAUGCAGUUUCAUUCAGGAUCUAUGUCUUUGAUUGCUUGCAUCAUGAUUGAG